GGGUCAUUAGCUCAGUUGGUUCAGAGUGUCGCCUUGACAUGGCGGAGGUCACUGGUUCGAACCCAGUAUGACCCACAA
rnacentral:tRNA from 2 species